UAAACAUUUCCGCCUUCAAGUGCACAGGA
rnacentral:sRNA from 1 species